UCUUUUCUCUCUAUCUAAACCAACCCAAACAUUGGUGAGACUCUCAUCAAUACCUCGAAAACCCAAGGGUUCCUCUGCAAGGUUCGUCCACGGAGGGUGAGUCAGGGCCUAAGAUCAGUCUGAAAAGCAUAGUCGAUGGAUUACAGGUGAAUAUUCCUAUACUACCCCUUGUUGGUCCUGAGGGACGGAGAAGGCUAGCUUAGCCUAAACAUGGUUAUCGGUUAAAGGACGAAAUGUGCCAUGUUUUUUAAGGGUAAGAAGGGUAGAGCAAAUGCCCCCAACCAAUGUUCGAGUACCAGGCGCUACGGCAUUGAAGUAGCCCAUGCUAUACUCCCAGGAAAAGCUCGAACGACCUUCAAUAAAAGGGUUCAUGUACCCGAAACUAACACAGGUGGGUAGGUAGAGAAUACCUAGGGACACGAGACAACUCUCUCUAAAAAACUUGACAAAAUAGUCACGUAAAUUCGGGAAAAUAAGUGCCUCAUCACAAAGGGGUCGUAGUAACCAGGCUCGGAUGAUUGUUUACCAAAAACACAUGUCUCCGCAAAGUUGUAAGACCAUGUAUGGAGGCUGACGCCUACCCAGUGCCGAAAGGUCAAUGAAGUUGGUAACCUUAUGACAAGGGAGCUGGCGACCGAAGCCCCGAUGAACGAUAGUCGUAACUAUAAUAGUCCUAAGGUAGCGAAAUUUUUUUUCUGGUAAAUUUCAACCCGCAUGAAAGGUGUAACAAUCUGGGCAUUAUCUUGGAGAGAAGCUCGGUGAAAUAGACAUGUAUGUGAAGAUGUAGGCUACUCGCACCUGGACAAAAAGACCCUAUGAAGCUUUUCUGUUCCCUGGGAUUGGCUUUGGGCUUGUUUGCGCAACUUAGGUGGAAGGUGAAGAAGGCCUCCUUCUGGGGGGAUCGAGCCAUCAGUGA